rnacentral:rRNA from 1 species
CGUGUACGUACAAGCAGUGGGAGCAUGAGUUUACUCAUGUGACUGCGUACCUUUUGUAUAAUGGGUCAGCGACUUAUAUUCUGUAGCAAGGUUAACCGAAUAGGGGAGCCGGAGGGAAACCGAGUCUUAACCGGGCGUUAAGUUGCAGGGUAUAGACCCGAAACCCGGUGAUCUAGCCAUGGGCAGGUUGAAGGUUGGGUAACACUAACUGGAGGACCGAACCGACUAAUGUUGAAAAAUUAGCGGAUGACCUGUGGCUGGGGGUGAAAGGCCAAUCAAACCGGGAGAUAGCUGGUUCUCCCCGAAAGCUAUUUAGGUAGCGCCUCGUGAAUUCAUCUCCGGGGGUAGAGCACUGUUUCGGCCAGGGGGCCAUCCCGGCUUACCAACCCGAUGCAAACUGCGAAUACCGGAGAAUGUUAUCACGGGAGACACACGGCGGGUGCUAACGUCCGUCGUGAAGAGGGAAACAACCCAGACCGCCAGCUAAGGUCCCAAAGUCAUGGUUAAGUGGGAAACGAUGUGGGAAGGCCCAGACAGCCAGGAUGUUGGCUUAGAAGCAGCCAUCAUUUAAAGAAAGCGUAAUAGCUCACUGGUCGAGUCGGCCUGCGCGGAAGAUGUAACGGGGCUAAACCAUGCACCGAAGCUGCGGCAGCGAACGUAUCACUUAAAGCGAUUCAGCGGAUGACGAUUGACGGAGCGAAGCGACGUCAAAGCGUUUUACAACGUCGAGUCGGUUUAAGGAUACGUUCGUUGGGUAGGGGAGCGUUCUGUAAGCCUGCGAAGGUGUGUCGUGAGGCAUGCUGGAGGUAUCAGAAGUGCGAAUGCUGACAUAAGUAACGAUAAUGCGGGUGAAAAACCCGCACGCCGGAAGACCAAGGGUUCCUGUCCAACGUUAAUCGGGGCAGGGUGAGUCGACCCCUAAGGCGAGGCCGAAAGGCGUAGUCGAUGGGAAACGGGUUAAUAUUCCCGUACCUGGUGUUACUGCGAAGGGGGGACGGAGAAGGCUAUGUUGGCCGGGCGACGGUUGUCCCGGUUUAAGCGUGCAGGCUGGUUUUCCAGGCAAAUCCGGAAAAUCAAGGCUGAGGCGUGACGACGAGGCACUACGGUGCUGAAGCAACAAAUGCCCUGCUUCCAGGAAAAGCCUCUAAGCCUCAGGUAACAUCAGAUCGUACCCGAAACCGACACAGGUGGUCAGGUAGAGAAUACCAAGGCGCUUGAGAGAACCCGGGUGAAGGAACUAGGCAAAAUGGUGCCGUAACUUCGGGAGAAGGCACGCUGACACGUAGGUGAAGCGGUUUACCCGUGGAGCUGAAGUCAGUCGAAGAUACCAGCUGGCUGCAACUGUUUAUUAAAAACACAGCACUGUGCAAACACGAAAGUGGACGUAUACGGUGUGACGCCUGCCCGGUGCCGGAAGGUUAAUUGAUGGGGUCAGCGCAAGCGAAGCUCCUGAUCGAAGCCCCGGUAAACGGCGGCCGUAACUAUAACGGUCCUAAGGUAGCGAAAUUCCUUGUCGGGUAAGUUCCGACCUGCACGAAUGGCGUAAUGAUGGCCAGGCUGUCUCCACCCGGGACUCAGUGAAAUUGAACUCGCUGUGAAGAUGCAGUGUACCCGCGGCAAGACGGAAAGACCCCGUGAACCUUUACU